rnacentral:rRNA from 1 species
CCUACGGGAGGCAGCAGUGAGGAAUAUUGGUCAAUGGACGAGAGUCUGAACCAGCCAAGUAGCGUGAAGGAUGACUGCCCUAUGGGUUGUAAACUUCUUUUAUAUGGGAAUAAAAUGUUCCACGUGUGGGCUUUUGUAUGUACCAUAUGAAUAAGGAUCGGCUAACUCCGUGCCAGCAGCCGCGGUAAUACGGAGGAUCCGAGCGUUAUCCGGAUUCAUUGGGUUUAAAGGGUGCGUAGGUUGUUUUAUAAGUUAGCUGUGAAAUACCGAUGCUCAACAUCGGGGCUGCCGCUGAUACUGGAGGACUUGAGAUCGGAUGAAGCAGGCGGAAUGUGUAGUGUAGCGGUGAAAUGCAUAGAUAUUACACAGAACACCGAUUGCGAAGGCAGCUUGCUAGGCCGGAACUGACACUGAUGCACGAAAGCGUGGGGAUCGAACAGGAUUAGAUACCCCAGUAGUC